rnacentral:rRNA from 1 species
GGCAGACGGCUCAGUAACGCGUAGUCAACCUAACCUAUGGACGGGAAUAACCUCGGGAAACUGAGUAUAAUGCCCGAUAGAACAUUAUGCCUGGAAUGGUUUAUGUUCCAAAUGAUUUAUCGCCGUAGGAUGGGACUGCGGCCUAUCAGUUUGUUGGUGAGGUAAUGGCCCACCAAGACUAUUACAGGUACGGGCUCUGAGAGGAGUGGCCCGGAGAUGGGUACUGAGACACGGACCCAGGCCCUAUGGGGCGCAGCAGGCGAGAAAACUUUGCAAUGUGCGAAAGCACGACAAGGUUAAUCUGAGUGGUUUCUGCUAAAGGAACCUUUUGUCGGUCCUAGAAACACCGAUGAAUAAGGGGUGGGCAAGUUCUGGUGUCAGCCGCCGCGGUAAAACCAGCACCUCAAGUGGUCAGGAUGAUUAUUGGGCCUAAAGCAUCCGUAGCCGGCUUUGUUAGUUUUCGGUUAAAUCUGUACGCUUAACGUACAGGCUGCCGGGAAUACUGCAGAGCUAGGGAGUGGGAGAGGUAGACGGUACUCGGUAGGAAGGGGUAAAAUCCUUUGAUCUAUUGAUGACCACCUGUGGCGAAGGCGGUCUACCAGAACACGUCCGACGGUGAGGGAUGAAAGCUGGGGGAGCAAACCGGAUUAGAUACCCGGGUAGUCCCAGCUGUAAACUAUGCAAACUCAGUGAUGCAUUGGCUUGUGGCCAAUGCAGUGCUGCAGGAAAGCCGUUAAGUUUGCCGCCUGGGAAGUACGUACGCAAGUAUGAAACUUAAAGGAAUUGGCGGGGGAGCACCACAAGGGGUGAAGCCUGCGGUUCAAUUGGAUU